UUUGAUGUUUGUAUACUUUCGGGGCCAGGUUAUUAUAGCAUAUACAGGGGACAGGGUCCCCUAAUUCAUGGUCCAUAUGAAACAUUUGGGUUGCGCGCAAGAUCGUGCAUUGCGUCGUGAUAAAAAUUAACAUAGUAUAUUCACAAAAGUGUUUUGGUUUCAGCGUCGAAGUCAUCGUCGCCUGAAGACGGCUGCGUGGGCGCCUGCGAGUGUCACCACAUCGACGUGGCCAAUUCAUGCAUGAGAUGAGCCACGAGACGUUUUGGAAUUUAUUCAAACUAUUUUAUUUAGUGUCGUGGUUAUGUAGUUCAAUUAUAGUUCCUCUAAUAUUUCUUAGUUAAUAGUUAAAGUUAAUUAUGUAAUAUACACUUAAUUCAUCUGUAAGUACUUACUGUAGGUAAUAAUUAAUGUAUGUAAACCGUUAUGAAAAUAAAAAGUAUAACGUAAGUAUGGGUAAAUACUGAAAAAUAUAUUACUAUAUUAGUGCUUUAUUUAAAAUCCCUGUAAAUGACAGUUUUUGAAGAUACCUUACAUUGUGAUGUAAUCAAUCAUUCUUAGCAAGAUAAUUCAAAAUUUACAGCCACCAAAACCUAAAUCUUUACAUAACAAAAUCACCUUUAUCAAAUAAAUCACAUUAUGCCAUGUGAAAAUUUCAGAUUUUAAC